GUAGGUGGCAAGCGUUGUCCGGAAUUAUUGGGCGUAAAGCGCGCGCAGGCGGUUCUUUAAGUCUGAUGUGAAAGCCCACGGCUCAACCGUGGAGGGUCAUUGGAAACUGGAGAACUUGAGUACAGAAGAGGAAAGCGGAAUUCCACGUGUAGCGGUGAAAUGCGUAGAGAUGUGGAGGAACACCAGUGGCGAAGGCGGCUUUCUGGUCUGUAACUGACGCUGAGGCGCGAAAGCGUGGGGAGCAAACGAGGAUUAGACUACCCGUGGUAGUCCACGCCGUAAACGAUGAGUGCUAAGUGUUAGGGGGUUUCCGCCCCCCUUAGUGCUGCAGCUAACGCAUUAAGCACUCCGCCGUGGGAGUACGGCCGCAAGGCUG
rnacentral:rRNA from 1 species